CUGACUGUCAAAUUAAACGGUCCUGAAAUGGUAAUUUUUUCGUAUUUCUUUGUAACUCAUAUUGCGUGACUCACUGAAUUUGGAAUAACGUAGGAUAUAAAGAGGAUUUUCAGGAAAAUGCUGGCGGAUCAUCUGAAGUGUCUGAAGGUGUCAGUGCUGCACUUUUAUGCUGUUGUAUUGGUGAAGUGGAAUUAUACACUGAAAUGGAAGCAAGGACAUUUUAUAAGCAUCCGGAAGGAAAAUAUCCUGUUGACUAUAUUAUAAAGGGGCUAUCACUAGAUGAUGAUAAACAAUAUGAAACGUUAUAUUAUAUUUCUGUUGUUCGUAUCUUUUUUCACCCAAUGUUGAAAGAAAAAAAAAAGAAAACAGCCAAAUUUAAUCCAAAAUUUAUAAUAAGUAAGAAAUUACGUUCACUAGAAUUAAUUGAGCCAGAAUCGAAGCAAAUAAAUUAUGAAAAAAUACUACAUGUGCUAGUAUUAAAAGAAUAUGAGCAUUUUUUGGAAGAGUUCAAGAAUAAAAAAUUCAUAAAAAUACAAGCAUUUGACUCGGAAACACAACUAAGUAAAUCUAUAUUUUCUAUAAUUUCUCCAUCCAAGGCACCUGAAUGGAGAUCAGCAGAUAAACAUCGAUGAAACAAACUUAAGAAGAAAUAUAAUAAUAGUUGAAAAUAUAAUCACAAUAAGCACAAAGGAAAUUGCCAAGGAAGAAAUGAACACAUUGAUUGAAACAGUUAAAAAUGUAGCCAUAAAUGUUUAUGGUUUUAAACAAAAACAAAGACGUCAAGAAUAUUGUAAUGUAGUAUUAAGGUUCAAUAAUAUUUAACUUAGAUAACCAUUGAAAUCUGUUAUUGAUACCUUUCACUUGAUACCAAACCUGUUGAAUAUUUCAAACUUGGUUUCAACAUAGCUUGACACCUAAAUGGGUUUACUAACUAUUGAUCGAUUAUUGUUUGAAGGUUUGCAUGGCGAAGUAGUAACAUAUAUGUUGAAGCUGGCGGUACACCACAUAGGUAGUCCUGAAAAGAACUCAGUACAAGAAAAUCUUGCAUCCCUUGAAGACACCUAGUAGGAGGAGGAUCAAGAAAGACCCGACUAAAGCCUCCGAAAGGAGGGUUACAAACAGGUUACUCAAACUACAUCGUUUGGAGGCACUCUCGAAGCCACUGUACUAUCAACUCCGACCUUCAGCAUCCAUAUGCCCGAGACUAUUCGGACCACCGAAAAAAUUCAUAAAGUGGACAUUCCACUACGUUUCUUCACGAGAAUCAUGAAAACCUACCCUCUCGCCAAGUAUCUUGCUAGGAUACUGUAUCCACUGGUAGGCAACACUGUUCAUCAUGUAACCAACUCUCAACACUUUGUGAAGACCAUCCGGGAUGUUUACCUUGAAUAAUAAUAUAAUAAUAAUUUGCGAUUUCUGUAGUGCCUCCCGUUAAACCAACCUCGAGGCGCUUCACAACAACGGAAGGAAACGGACAAGAGAAUAAAAAAACCAUGAACCUAGACUAACAAAGAAAAAAGAAAACGCCUAAAUGAACCAAACCAACACCGCACCGUUUAUCGGCAAUUUAAGGCGUAAAGCCCGCCGAUGCAUGACUCACAGGUGCUCAAGUGAUGGCGGUGUCUAGCUAAGCAGUUAAAAGAAGGAAAAAAAACAAAAUAGUGGUAAAAAGUGUCUUAAAGGAAUUCAGCAAAACUUUCAGUGAAGAGGUGAGUUUUGAGUUGUGUUUUAAAAAGCUGAAGUGAGUCGGCGUUCCUGAUUUCAUCUGGAAGUGCAUUCCAUAAGGUAGACGCCGCAGAGGUGAAUGCCCGUGAGCCGUAUGUGAUGGUAGUGCUUUUCGGAACUUUUAGAAGAUUCUUAGAAGCGGAUCGGAGAGAGGGUGUUUGCGUGUAAGGAGUCAGGAGUUCGGUGAUGUAUUCUGGAGCGAGAUAGUUCAUUGCCUUGUAUGUUAACAGCAAUGUUUUAUAAAUAAUUCUUUUGUCGACAGGAAGCCAGUGAAGAUAAUAUAGUAUGGGUGUAAUAUGGAUACGUCGCUUAGUUAAGGUAACUACAGAGACUCUUGUUAGCUUCGACACCAAAUCACUAUUCACCGAUGUACCUGUCAAGGAGGCUUGUCUAAUAGCCAAACACCGUCUAGAAGAGGAUCACACGCUCCAAGAAAGAACAGAUCUGAACCCCGAACUGAUUCACGAUUUACUUUUAGUGUUUACUCUGUACUAGUUUCAAAUGGCGCGACCAGUUUUUCGAACAAACAGAAGGCAUGGCCAUGGGAUCGCCUUUAUCCCCAGUCAUUGCCAACAUCUUCCUUGAAGAGUUUGAAUAACUAGCGCUUCUUUCAGCCACCAAACAACCAAAACUCUGGUUCUGACACAUCGAUGACACUUUCAUCAUUUGGCAACACAGUAAUGUGUACCUAGAUGGUUUUCUAGAUCACCUGAAUUCUCAGCACAAAGCAAUCACGUUUACCAUGGAGGAGGAACACAAUCGCCAUCCGUCCACCAAGAAGGGAGUUUGUAACACACUCAUCAGAAGAGCACAUUGCAUCAGCAACCACAACUCCAUCCAGAAAGAAGUGCAACAUGUUAAGGCAGCCCUUAAACUUAAUGGUUAUCACACGAGAGACAAUGGUACACCCAGACCCAGCAAUAGGCUAGAUAAUGCGGAAUCAAGAAAUUCUGUAUAUUUACCAUAUUUGGGAUAGCUUUCAUAUGGCAUUCAACACAUUCUACUACAAGCCGAUAUCAAAGUGUUUCAUAGCACACCAACAGACUAUCCCAGACUCUACAAACACACAAGGAUAAACCACCAGCACAGAGUCAACCAGAAGUUUAUCGGAUCCUGUGCGAAUGUGGGAAGCUUUACAUUGGUGAAACAGGAAGAGAUCUCCGCACUAGGCUCAAGGAACACCAAGGCCAUGCCAGGAGAGGGGAACAACAAAAAUCGUCUAUAGUCAUGCACUCCCACAGUCAACAACACCGUGUACAUUGGGACAUAGCCGAACUAAUAGCCACUGUACCAUCGUGGCACUCCAGAAGGACCAGAGAAGCCAUAGAAAUCCACAAACACAAUAUUGUACAUCAAGAUAUCGGAUUUGUCAUUAGCGAUAUUUAGCUGUCCAUGCUUAAUCGGACCUAGCUAAGCAGCCCCAUCAUUUCCGGCCUUCUGGAACUAUGCCUUUGGUUUAUGGUCGUUCCCAUCCCCCUUUCCCGCCCUACUGGAACUAUACCUUUGUUUUGGUCAUUCCCACCUCCUUGUCUCCGUGAACAAUGGCUUUUAUUUUAGCCUUUCUCUAGCAGUCUUCUCAUUGAUCAGUUUAUCCAUCCAGCCUCUCUACCAAAACAUGUAAAUAUUUCUCUGUUUAGAGUUUGUGCAGAUAUUAGGGACUUUUAGAUUUGCCGACAUAGUGGACUGCUACAUGAUGAGGUCAUUUUAAGGCACUGCGCAUGUGUUACUUCGUCUCCCUCGUCCACUACCAAAAUCGAGAACGUGUUCACCUCGUUUUUCCUGUCGUCCUAAAUCUAGGACGCUGUGCUCGCUUGUGAAGUUUAAAGAUGGAAGUUGAAAAUAUACUGGCAACGCUGCUUUCACUAGUUAGUUCAACUGAGGCAGAGACAGAGCCUGAGGUAAGUUUCUAACUUGUGUUGAAUUAAUCUGUAUUAUUUGCUUUUUAAUGCACAGGCAGUUAUGUAAUUUCUACUGCCUUCGUAAACACAAAAAAGGAUGUGGAAGUUCAUGAGCGUGCUUACGCCAGUGUGCAUGCAAUGCAAAUGCUUGCGGCCGGGGAGGCCUGUUAACUAUCUGCAUCAUCGCAGUUGACGCACCGGAUGCGCCCUGAAGUAUGCAUUACAUUCAUCAUUGUUGUACUUGUCUACAUCAAAUUUCUGAUAAUCUCGGUACCUGAAUUCGGCAUUCGGCAUCGGUGAAGACACCAGUAGAAUAUGCAAAGACAAUAAUUUCGCGAAGUCGAUGAAGGUUCGCCAUGACAACUGCUUAAUGAGGUUGCCUAGCGCAGGCUACAUGUCGACUGAAUUCUAAAAGGUUUUCAUUUGUAGUCAACAAGUAUAGUUGACUACGUUGACACGCAUGACUAGUCGACAUGAACCAGGUCCACGUCCACACAAUCUAAAAGUCCUUCUCCUGAAGACGAAUGAAGCAACUCAAUCAAAACUACCUUGUGUACCACAAGCUUCGAAAUAUAUGUUAUUGACAGAUUAUUGGUCAUUCUAUUAAAGUGACAACCAGUUCAGCCCCGGACAAUCGGACCUAACAUUCCCCCCUCCAUAAUUAUCAGUUUUAAGCCCAAGUUUUGAAGUUUGUAAUAUAUCUCAAUUAGCAGUUUUUUAGUAAACAAGCUAUUAAAUUAUAAAGAAAGAAUUUCUCUAUGAUCUAAAAGUAUGGUGUGACUUAAUCUAGACACACCUCCAGAUCACUGAAUCAGUAGAAGUAGAAGUAUCAGAUAGAGUGGUUAGUUAGUAGUCGAUUGUAUAUAACAUGUACAGUAGAAUAGUUGAUGCUAAAUAAAACUUUGCAAUAUAUUGAUAAAAAAGAACUGUAUUUAUAACUUAAUGAAAGUCACCUUUUAUACAUGUACAGUAGAAUAGUUGAUGCUGAAUAAAACUUUGCAAUAUAUUGAUAAAAAA
rnacentral:lncRNA from 1 species